rnacentral:rRNA from 1 species
UACGUAGGGGGCAAGCGUUGUCCGGAUUUAUUGGGCGUAAAGAGCGUGUAGGCGGCUAGGUAGGUCCGUUGUGAAAACUCGAGGCUCAACCUCGAGACGUCGAUGGAAACCAUCUAGCUAGAGUCCGGAAGAGGAGAGUGGAAUUCCUGGUGUAGCGGUGAAGUGCGCAGAUAUCGGGAGGAACACCAAUAGCGAAGGCAGCUCGCUGGGACGUGACUGACGCUGAGACGCGAAGGCGUGGGGAGCAAACAGG